rnacentral:lncRNA from 10 species
AGACUUGCUGCUCCAGGCCCUCGCCUGCUUGCCCACAGGACUCCGGCUAUGUCAUCGCCCUGCGCAGCUACAUCACUGACAACUGCAGCCUCCUCAGCUUCCACCGUGGGGACCUCAUCAAGCUGCUGCCGGUGGCCACCCUGGAGCCAGGCUGGCAGUUUGGCUCUGCCGGGGGCCGUUCCGGACUCUUUCCUGCCGACAUAGUGCAGCCGGCUGCCGCUCCCGACUUUUCCUUCUCCAAGGAGCAGAGGAGUGGCUGGCACAAGGGUCAGCUGUCCAACGGGGAACCAGGGCUGGCUCGGUGGGACAGGGCCUCAGAGCGCCCUGCCCACCCUUGGAGCCAGGCACACAGUGACGACUCGGAGGCCACCAGCCUGUCCUCUGUGGCCUAUGCCUUUCUGCCCGACUCCCACAGCUACACCAUGCAGGAAUUCGCCCGGCGUUACUUCCGGAGGUCCCAGGCCUUGCUGGGCCAGACUGAUGGAGGUGCCGCAGGAAAGGACACGGACAGCCUGGUGCAGUACACCAAGACCCAUGGCCUCCUCUCUUUGGCCACAGGCUCCCAUCCAGGAGUCGCUCCUCAGCCUCAGUGAUGAUGUGAGCAAGCUGGCUGUAGCCAGCUUCCUGG